GUUUAAAGACGAGCAGAGACUGAACCAGAGCAGCUCUGCGCUCUCUCUGCCUCUCACUGUGCACAAACAGGACUUCAGCUCCUCUUACAGAUGUGUGGCUGCAAACCCUGCAGAGAAUAAAACUCUUCCUGUCCAUGUGAGAACGACCUGUGGAGACACCAACAACGACACCAACAGCUCGACUGAACCAAGAAACUAUAACAUCCUCAUUAUAAUCUUCUGUGUCCUGAGUGCUGCCCUCAUCAUCAUCAUCAUCAUCCUCAUCAUGAGGAGGAAGCAUCCUGUCCAAGACAAGUUUAACCUCCUACAAGCUGCAGGCAGGGCUCCUGUGGAUGAAGUGGUCCUUUAUACUGACACAGGUGACAGCAGACAGGGUGGGAUUUUAGCGGCUGUAUCAGGAACCAGUGAUGGCUCCAGUCUGACAGCAGUGUCUUAUAAACUGGUGCUCGUCACAUGAGAGAGGUGUGACUGGCUGCAACAUCCGAG
ensembl:lncRNA